rnacentral:tRNA from 1 species
AAAGGUAUAGCUCAGUGGUAGAGUGCAUGCUUAGCAUGCAUGAGGUCCUUGGUUCAAACCCCAGCACAUCCA